AAGUCCCGUAACGAGCGCAACCCUUGUCCUCAGUUACCAGCGGUUCGGCCGGGAACUCUGGGGAGACUGCCGGUGACAAACCGGAGGAAGGUGGGGAUGACGUCAAGUCAUCAUGGCCCUUAUGGGCAGGGCUACACACGUGCUACAAUGGGCGGUACAAAGGGCAGCCAACCCGCGAGGGGGAGCCAAUCCCAUAAAACCUGCCUCAGUCCGGAUCGGAGUCUGCAACUCGACUCCGUGAAGUCGGAAUCGCUAGUAAUCGUGAAUCAGAAUGUCACGGUGAAUACGUUCCCGGGCCUU
rnacentral:rRNA from 1 species